rnacentral:rRNA from 1 species
GACGAACGCUGGCGGCGUGCUUAAUACAUGCAAGUCGAACGGAAAGGCCCUGCUUUUGUGGGGUGCUCGUGUGGCGCACGGGUGAGUAACACGCGAGUAACAUGCCCUUGAAUUUGGGAUAAAUUUAGGAAACUGGGGCUAAUACAGGAUAGGAGCUCUUGCUGCAUGGUGGGGGUUGGAGAGUUUCGGUGGUGGGGGCUGGACUCGCGGCUUAUCAGCUUGUUGGUGGGGUAGUGGCUUACGAAGGCUGUGACUGGUAGCCGGCCUGAGAGGGUGACCGGGCACAUGGGGCCUGAGAUAGGGCGCAGACUGCUACGGUAGGCAGCAGUGGGGAAUAUUGCACAAUGGGCGGAAGCCAGAUACAGCAACGCCGCGUGCGGGAUGACGGCCUUCUGGUUGUAAACCGCUGUCGCCUUUGACGAAGCCUGAGUGACGGUAAUGGGUAAAGAAGCACCGGCUAACUACGUG